UUGUAAACUGCUUUUAUCCGGGAAUAAACCUUUCUACGUGUAGAGAGCUGAAUGUACCGGAAGAAUAAGGAUCGGCUAACUCCGUGCCAGCAGCCGCGGUAAUACGGAGGAUCCAAGCGUUAUCCGGAUUUAUUGGGUUUAAAGGGUGCGUAGGCGGCCUGUUAAGUCAGGGGUGAAAGACGGUAGCUCAACUAUCGCAGUGCCCUUGAUACUGAUGGGCUUGAAUGGACUAGAGGUAGGCGGAAUGAGACAAGUAGCGGUGAAAUGCAUAGAUAUGUCUCAGAACACCGAUUGCGAAGGCAGCUUACUAUGGUUCUAUUGACGCUGAGGCACGAAAGCGUGGGGAUCGAACAGGAUUAGAUACCCUGGUAGUCCACGCCCUAAACGAUGAACACUCGCUGUUGGCGAUACACAGUCAGCGGCUAAGCGAAAGCGUUAAGUGUUCCACCUGGGGAGUACGGUCGCAAGAUUGAAACUCAAAGGAAUUGACGGAAUCACUA
rnacentral:rRNA from 1 species